UGUGAUAUAGGUAGUUUCAAGUUGUUGGGCUGAACUCUUGUGAUCACAGGAACCUGAAACUGCCUGAGU
ensembl:miRNA mir196b microRNA mir-196b